rnacentral:rRNA from 1 species
CCUACGGGAGGCAGCAGUGAGGAAUAUUGGUCAAUGGGCUUACGCCUGAACCAGCCAAGUCGCGUGAGGGAAGACUGCCCUAUGGGUUGUAAACCUCUUUUGUCAGGGAGCAACGCCGGCUACGUGUAGCCGGACUGAGAGUACCUGAAGAAAAAGCAUCGGCGAACUCCGUGCCAGCAGCCGCGGUAAUACGGAGGAUGCGAGCGGUAUCCGGAUUUAUUGGGUGUAAGGGGUGCGUAGGCGGAAUGCCAAGUAAGCGGUAAAACCGCGGGGCUCAACCUCGCUCCGCUGUUGAAACUGGCGUGCUUGAGUGGGCGAGAAGUAUGCGGAAUGCGUGGUGUAGCGGUGAAAGGCAUAGAUAUCACGCAGAACUCCGAUUGCGAAGGCAGCAUACCGGCGCCCAACUGACGCUGAAGCACGAAAGCGUGGGUAUCGAACAGGAUUAGAUACCCCGGUAGUC